AAGUCGUAACAAGGUUUCCGUAGGUGAACCUGCGGAAGGAUCAUUACCUAGAGUUUGUAGACUUCGGUCUGCUACCUCUUACCCAUGACUUUUGAGUACCUUCGUUUCCUCGGCGGGUCCGCCCGCCGAUUGGACAACAUUCAAACCCUUUGCAGUUGCAAUCAGCGUCUGAAAAAACAUAAUAGUUACAA
rnacentral:misc_RNA from 1 species